ACGGCCACCUGACGCUGAAACAUCGAUUCCCAUUAGAUCAUCGCAGUUAAACCACGUCGUGCCUGGUCACUACCAAGAUGGGUGAACACUUGGAAAUACAAGGUGUUGUAAG